AUGACCCUAGACCGGCAUUUGGGGGCUGCAUCGAUUGACAAGUGUCUCCCCAACUUGCUCAUCAGAGAAUCCACGUAUGCAACAACCACCGAGACUCCAAAUGCUGUAGAGAGGGAGAUUUCCUUAGGAAAGUUCAUGAGACUGUGGAGCGUGGUGGGAAGGUGUUGAUCUCUGUGUUUGCACUGGGCCAGGCAUAAGAGCUCUGCGUCCUGCUGGAGACCUUCUGGGAACGCAUGAACCGGAAGGUGCCCAUCUACUUCUCUGCAGGCCUGACAGAGAAGGCCAACCACUACUACAAGCUCUUCAUCACCUGGACCAACCAGAAAAUAUGUAAGACAUUUGUCCAGAGGAACAUGUUUGAGUUCUAGCACAUCAAAGCUUUUGACUGGACAUUUGCUGACAACCCAGGUCCCGUGGUUGUGUUUGCCACACCUGGGAUGCUGCAUGCUGGCCAGUCUCUGCAGAUCUUUUGAAAGUGGGCAGGAAACGAGAAGAACAUGGUCAUCAUGCCUGGCUACUGUGUGCAAGGCCUUGUGGGCCACAAGAUCCUUAGCGGGCAAUGAAAGCUGGAGAUGGAGGAGGGUCAGGUGCUGGAGGUAAAGACGCAAGUGGGAUACACGUCAUUCAGUGCCCAUGCUGAUGCCAAGGGCAUCGUGCAACUGGUGGGACAAGCAGAGCCGGAGAGUGUGCUGCUGGUGCAUGGCGAGGCCAAGAAGAUGGAGUUCUUCAGGCAGAAGACUGAGCAGGGAUUCUGGGUAAGCUGCUACAUGCCGCCCCGACCAAUGGUGAGACAGUGAUGCUGCCCACAAGCUCCAGCAUCCCUGUGAGCAUCUCCCUGGGGCUGCUGAAGCGGGAGAUGGUGCAGGGACUGCUCCCUGAGGCCCAAAAGCCUCUGCUCUUGCAUGGCGCACUAACUAUGAAAGACCAUAGUUUCCGGCCGGUAUCCUCAGAGCAAGCCCUCAAGGAGUUGGGCCUGGCUGAGCACACCAACUGAGCUCCACCUGUCCUGUGUACCUGCAGGACACAUGCAAGGAGCAAGAAACAGCCCUACAUGUGUACAACCACCUCAAGAGCACCCUCAAAGACCAUCGUAUACAACCCCUCCCUGAUGGCUCUGUGACUGUGGCGUCCAUUCUUAUCCAGGCUGCCGCCCACUCAGAGGACCCUGGUACUGAGUUACUCCUGGUCUCCUGGACCUACCAGGAUGAAGAGGUGGGAAGCUUUCUCACAGCAUGGCUCAAAAAAUGGCCUCCCCCAGGCCCCCAGCUGACGUGUAACCACCAGCAGCCUACCACUCUGUCUCUUACUGUUUGCCCAGCAGAAGGACCAGGGCUUUGGCUUUGGGAGGUGGGUGCCCUGAGUAAAUGGAAACCAUAAUUGGGCCACAGACUCUGUCCUAGGGUCAAGACCAGAGUCACAGGCUGGCUAAUGUAAUAAACAGGCCUUUUUGUU